UACGUAGGGUGCAAGCGUUGUCCGGAAUUAUUGGGCGUAAAGAGCUCGUAGGCGGUUUGUCGCGUCUGCCGUGAAAAUUCGAGGCUCAACCUCGAACUUGCGGUGGGUACGGGCAGACUAGAGUGUGGUAGGGGAGACUGGAAUUCCUGGUGUAGCGGUGAAAUGCGUAGAGAUCAGGAAGAACAUCGGUGGCGAAGGCGCUCUGCUGGACCAUAACUGACACUCAGGGGACGAAAAGCUAGGGGGAGCGAAUGGG
rnacentral:rRNA from 1 species